GAGAAUUUUAAUUGUGACAUGGAUAAGCAGUGACUUGGUUCUGAAAUUGCAUAUGUGCUAUGACUGUUUUGGGUUGUAUAAUUAUGCAGUAUCGAAGAUACACUAUUGAGGAAAUAGAAGAAGCGACAAAAUAUUUUUCCAACUCACUGAAGUUGGUGAAGUAUGUUAUGGACCAGUCUAUAGGGCUGAAUUAGUUCUCACUGCAUUUGCAAUAAAAGUGUUGCAACCCUGUGCAGCUCAAGGAUGGUUGCAAUUUCAACCAAGAUUGAAGUUGUGAUAAGCAUAAGGCAUCCAAACAUGGUUCUUCUAUUUGAAACGUGUCCGGGGUUCGGUUGCUUACCGUAUGAGCACAUGAGUAAUGGAAUGUUGACGUGCUAUCUAGAUUUAGACAUUAGCAUAUAGGGCAAUAUAAAUUCUUUUUCAGGGUUUUCAUGUGUUCCAUAUAAAUAUUUGAAACACUAUAUUUCUAGGUGGAUGCAGAAAGUGUGUACUGAACUUUUAUGUUUGUUGCAUUUUAAUAAUGAUUAAAGCUGAGAAAAUAAUUUAGCAGCAAAGUUGAGUCAACAAUUGCAGCAAUGCGAGGGCUUUCGGCUACUACAGCUAGCAAUCAACCACAACUUACUACUUUGUUUUAACUGGCUGCUCAUGAAGCUAAAAAAUCAAGUACUCAGGGUUGCAUUUAACAGUGAUUUUAUUCUACUGCAGAUCGAUAGGGUGCCCACAACAUCAGUGGCCCGUGAACCAGAGGCUUUUCACUAUGGAUAUCAUGUACUAUAGGUAAUGUUGUAGAUAUUGGAAACACAUUGGGCUAGAUGCAUUGGAUUUAUCAAAGCCAUUGAACUGCCACUUUUGCCGCCGCUGAAAAAGUCAGUUGAACGGAAAGUAGUGCUUGGAAACAAUUGGACCUGGUUGUUGCAACUGGUGGUGAUGGAACUCUUCCGCUGGCCCGCCAUUUAAUGGAUGGCAAAAUUCCUGUCCUUUGAUUGAACUCAG